rnacentral:rRNA from 1 species
AGGGUUCGAUUCUGGCUCAGGAUGAACGCUGGCGGCGUGCUUAACACAUGCAAGUCGAACGGGAAACCUAUUAUUGAAACUUCGGUCGAUUUAAUUUGUUUCUAGUGGCGGACGGGUGAGUAACGCGUGGGUAACCUGCCCUAUACAGGGGGAUAACAACCAGAAAUGGUUGCUAAUACCGCAUAAGCGCACGGGACCGCAUGGUCCAGUGUGAAAAACUCCGGUGGUAUAGGAUGGACCCGCGUUGGAUUAGCUGGUUGGUGGGGUAACGGCCCACCAAGGCGACGAUCCAUAGCCGGCCUGAGAGGGUGAACGGCCACAUUGGGACUGAGACACGGCCCAG